UCAAGAUUAGUUUCUGUCCCAUAUAAUUGAAGCAUCCGCUCAUCUUAGCUGUCUCCAUUAAAAGAAGAACCCACAACACGAAUGGCCAGUGGAAGAUUACCGCAAAGCUUAACUACUUUUGCUGCAUGCUCUUCAUAACCAUCCCGCCGAGAACUUUGUUUAAAAGCAUAUAGACAAAAGAUCUCAAGCGCCUAUCCUU